rnacentral:tRNA from 2 species
GGGGCUGUAGCUCAGUUGGCAGAGCGCUUGCAUGGCAUGCAAGAGGUCGUCGGUUCGACCCCGAUCAGCUCCACCA